CACAUGGGAGCUUCCUUCAAUAUGACUUGG
rnacentral:piRNA from 1 species